UACGGAGGGGGCUAGCGUUAUUCGGAAUUAUUGGGCGUAAAGGGCGCGUAGGCGGCCAUGCGUGUCUUCCGUGAAAUCCCUCGGCUUAACUGAGGACGUGCGGAAGAAACUGCAAGGCUCGAGUCCGGGAGAGGGGGGUGGAAUUCCCAGUGUAGCGGUGAAAUGCGUAGAUAUUGGGAGGAACACCGGUGGCGAAGGCGGCCCCCUGGACCGGUACUGACGCUGAGGCGCGAAAGCGUGGGUAGCAAACGGG
rnacentral:rRNA from 1 species